rnacentral:rRNA from 1 species
AUGCAAGUCGAGCGAGGCGGGUAGCAAUACCCAGUCGAGCGGCGAACGGGUGAGUAACGCGUGGAUUAUCUACCCUGAGGUGGGGGAUAACCCGGCGAAAGCCGGGCUAAUACCGCAUAACAUCGAAAGAUCAAAGGGGGAGCAAUCUCCCGCCAUUGGAGGAGUCCGCGUCCUGAUUAGCUAGUUGGUAGGGUAAUGGCCUACCAAGGCGACGAUCGGUAGCCGGCCUGAGAGGGUGAUCGGCCACACUGGAACUGAGACACGGUCCAGACUCCUACGGGAGGCAGCAGUGGGGAAUUUUGCGCAAUGGGCGAAAGCCUGACGCAGCAACGCCGCGUGGAGGAUGACGGUCCUUGGAUCGUAAACUCCUGUCAGCAGGGAAAAAGGGGACCGGGCUCAUACCCCGGUUCAUUGAUUGUACCUGCAGAGGAAGCCCCGGNUAACUCUGUGCCAGCAGCCGCGGUAAUACGUAGGGACCAAGCGUUGUUCGGAUUUACUGGGCGUAAAGGGUGCGUAGGCGGUUUAUC